AAACUAAAUUCAAUUUUAAAGUAUGUAUAAGGUUGAUAUUUUGACAAUUGUACUAAAAUAUAAUAAAGUUCAAUAAAUAAAUUAAUUAAAAUGAACCUGACUGUUCCGAGUUGAUGAAAGAGGCUCCAAUUUAAGCGAGAUUGUCACUUAGUUGUGUUGAAUGGAUCAGUACUUGUCUGACCGGAUUUUGGAGAAAAUCCACCAUGUGAAGAAUCUGAGACUUCUACUGGUAUAAUACUCCUCACGCUCAAUCUGAGAGUUCAAACCCAACUGCAACUACAAGGCCCAACUACAACGCCCAAGUUUUUUUUUAAGCAGAGAAGAUGUUAGUAGUUCAAUGAGUAUCUAACUUGUCAUGGUUAUUUGAUCACCAGGCCCAAACACAAAAGGCCCAACUACUUCUCUCCUUGAUCACUCUGUUAAGAAAAAUCCCGAUCUCAAGCUAGGGUUGAGGACCGAAAAUUGCAAGGGGCGGCGGAACUAUCUUUCUUCCUCGAUCUAAAUCAAAGAGCUCGCCGAGGAUGGAGACUCCGGCGUCGAGGUCAAUCGUCGUCGCGGUUCAAGGGCGAAGGGCGGACAAGCUCGUUGUCGCCGUCGUCGAUCGCAACAGCAGAAUCGUCGUCGUCGUCGUCGAACGUCGCAGCCCUUUAAGCAACAAACAUCGAAUACUUUAGAAAUUAAGGGUUGGGGCCCACUCUCCCAUGAAAAACCAUGAAGGGCUGCUGGGCUGGAUUCCUAUUAAUUCGCUCUUUUCAUAACAAACCGAUCAACGGCCACGGCCACUAACGGCCUCGUGCACGCGAUAACCGUCAAACUACUAGUGGGCCCAAUCAAUGGUUGCGAUUCGCCACGCUGCUCGAGGCUAUCUCCUCCAUCAAUCAAAGGAGGGGGAAAAGAACCCAAAAUUCCAAGAAUCUCCAUUAAGAAAGCAGAGCUCAGCCAUGGAAGGAGGAGGCCAAGGUGACGAGGGUUCAUAAAUCGAGAAUCCUAACGAAGCAGCAGACGAAACCUGAUCAUCGCUCAGUUCUCAGACAAAUCAGGAGAGCACCAAAACUGGAACUACUUUCACUGCCAUUGUGUACAUCGUAACCGCAUUGAUUGGAUCUGGGGUUUUAUCACUGGCAUGGAGUCUGGCUCAGUUGGGUUGGAUUGCUGGCAUUGCUUUCAUGCUUUUCAUUGCUGGACUCGCACAUUUCCAGUCUAUGGUGCUUGCUAAUUGCUACGGAUCAUCAUCAAACUGGCAUGAUGCCAACCAUCGUCCUAUUCGUACAUACAUGGAUACUGUGAGGGAAAAUUCAGGUGUGAAGGCUGCCUGGGUUUGUGUGCGCAUUCAGCAAACGUACAUGUUUGGGACUGCAAUAGCUUGCAACAUUACAUCUGCUGCUAGCAUGAGGUAUUAUGCUUUGAAUACCCCCUCUCCUUCUCUACUCAUUAAAGGUUUUAAAAAAACUCAUUGUAUGUUUUAGCUCGUCUUUCAUGAGUAACAAUGUCCACGAUCAUAAUGUUAGAUUAAACGGUUACAUUCUGAAUCAGAAUUUCAUUUAUUCUGUCAGAAGUUAUUCACUUUCAAGACUUAACUUCUAUGAUCAUGCAUUGUUCCGUACAUAUUUUUUCCAUUUAUUUUGAUUUUUGCUAAUAGACAUUACUUAAUGUUACUGCUUACAAGUUGCUAUAAAGUUAUUUCAAUUCUCUAUAAAUUUGUGCUGUGAUUAUCUAAUUCUCUUUUAAAUAAAGAGAUUAUGUUGAUUUUAGUCUAAUUAAACAUGAAAAAGAAAGAGAAUGAAAAGUUUUUUUCCCCUCUUGCUUGUUCCGCAUGCAGCGAAUUAUGGAAAUCUUUUUGGUUUCCAAUCAAAUGGAGUUCCUCCCUCCUGGUGUUUGGAGCUGCUCAGAUAAUUCUGUCAUACACAGUAUUUUCAUAACACGAGAAUCUUAACCUAUGUUCUGCAAUCAUGUCCAUCUUAUACACGUUCAUUGGACUUGCUCUCAGCUCUCUGGCCGCAUUCAAAGUGAUAGGUAAGUAGAAGCUCAGAAAUGCCUUUGCUUUUGAAAUCAAAGGUUGAGAUGUGAAUAACCAAUCUCAGAUAGAUGUUCGAAGUUAAUCAUUGCAACUUUUGAUGAUGUGAAGAGAAUGAAUAAUAUAAUAAAUAGAUAAAUGAUCAACUAGGAAAUUUGUGGAUAUAAAAUUAUUGCAGAUAUUAAGAAAAGAAAAUGUUGAACUGUUUGUAAGCAGCAUAAGCCCAUCUGGGGAAGAAAUGUCUGUGUUUACCUCAUAAGAUUGUUUGUGCAGAUGUUUCAGCAAAUAGAAAGAUACCUGUACGAAGAUUUGGUGGGAUUUAUAUGGAUUCGUCAUUUCCAAAAGUGUGGCUGAUUUUUCAAGAACUUGGGUAUAUACUAUUUGCCUAUCCGGUCACCACAAUUCUAUUCAACAUACAGAUUGGGUUCCUAUUUGUGAAGUUUUGGAAUCAUCAAUGCCUAUUGUAGUUUCUAAAUUGCAAGCAUUUACCUGUAUGUUGAAUAGAAUUGUGGUGACCGGAUAGGCAAAUAGUAUAUACCCAAGUCCUUGAAAAACCAGCCACACUUUUGGAGAUGACGAAUCCAUAUAAAUCCCACCAAAUCUUCGUACAGGUAUCUUUCUAUUUGCUGAAACAUCUGCACAAACAAUCUUAUGAGGUAAACACAGACAUUUCUUCCCCAGAUGGGCUUAUGCUGCUUACAAACAGUUCAACAUUUUCUUUUCUUAAUAUCAGCAAUAAUUUUAUAUCCACAAAUUUCCUAGUUGAUCAUUUAUCUAUUUAUUAUAUUAUUCAUUCUCUUCACAUCAUCAAAAGUUGCAAUGAUUAACUUCGAACAUCUAUCUGAGAUUGGUUAUUCACAUCUCAACCUUUGAUUUCAAAAGCAAAGGCAUUUCUGAGCUUCUACUUACCUAUCACUUUGAAUGCGGCCAGAGAGCUGAGAGCAAGUCCAAUGAACGUGUAUAAGAUGGACAUGAUUGCAGCGACAUAGGUUAAGAUUCUCGUGUUAUGAAAAUAUUGUGUAUGACAGAAUUAUCUGAGCAGCUCCAAACACCAGGAGGGAGGAACUCCAUUUGAUUGGAAACCAAAAAGAUUUCCAUAAUUCGCUGCAUGCGGAACAAGCAAGAGGAAAAAAAAAACUUUUCAUUCUUUUUCAUGUUUAAUUAGACUAGAAUCAGCAUAAUCUCUUUAUUUAAAAGAGAAUUAGAUAAUCACAGCACAAAUUUAUAGAGAAUUGAAAUAACUUUAUAGCAACUUGUAAGCAGUAACAUUAAGUAAUGUCUAUUAGCAAAAAUCAAAAUAAAUGGAAAAAAUAUGUACGGAACAAUGCAUGAUCAUAGAAGUUAAAUCUUGAAAGUGAAUGACUUCUGACAGAAUAAAUGAAAUUCUGAUUCAGAAUGUAACCGUUUAAUCUAAUAUUAUAAUCGUGGACAUUGUUACUCAUGAAA